ACCCGCACAAGCGGUGGAGGAUGUGGUUCAAUUCGAUGCUACGCGAAGAACCUUUACCUACCCUUGACAUGUCUGGAACCUUGGUGAGAGCCGAGGGUGCCUUCGGGAGCCAGAACACAGGUGCUGCAUGGCUGUCGUCAGCUCGUGUCGUGAGAUGUUCGGUUAAGUCCGCUAACGAGCGCAACCCUCGCUGUGUGUUAUAUGUGUCACACGGGACUGCCGGUCUUAAGCCGGAGGAAGGUGGGGAUGAUGUCAAGUCAGCAUGGCCUUUAUAUCCUGGGCUACACACACGCUACAAUGGCCAACACAAUAGGUUGCUAAGCCGCGAGGUGGCGCCAAUCCAUAAAGUUGGUCUCAGUUCAGAUUGUAGGCUGCAACCCGCCUGCAUGAAGAUGGAGUUGCUAGUAACCGCAGGUCAGCUAUACUGCGGUGAAUACGUUCCCGGGGCUU
rnacentral:rRNA from 1 species